AGUGGCGAACGGGGGCGUAACACGUGAGCAAUCUGCCUUAAAGUGGGGGAUAGCUCGCCGAAAGGCGAAUUAAUACCGCAUGUGGUUGUAAAACCAAAGCCGGGGUAACCUGGCGCUUUUAGAGGAGCUCGCGGCCUAUCAGCUUGUUGGUGAGGUAACGGCUCACCAAGGCUUCGACGGGUAGCUGGUCUGAGAGGACGACCAGCCACACUGGAACUGAGACACGGUCCAGACACCUACGGGUGGCAGCAGUCGAGAAUUUUUCUCAAUGGGGGAAACCCUGAAGGAGCGACGCCGCGUGGAGGAUGAAUGCUUUCGGGUUGUAUACUCCUGUCAUUUGGGAACAAGGCCUUACGUUAACUGCGUGGAGGUUUGAUAGUACCAGAAGAGGAAGAGACGGCUAACUCUGUGCCAGCAGCCGCGGUAAUACAGAGGUCUCAAGCGUUGUUCGGAUUCAUUGGGCGUAAAGGGCGCGUAGGCGGCGAGGUAAGUCGGGUGUGAAAUCUCAGAGCUUAACUCUGAAACUGCACUCGA
rnacentral:rRNA from 1 species